rnacentral:rRNA from 1 species
GUAGUCUCGCACAGACGCAUAUCAAUAAGCGGAGGAAAAGAAACUAACAAGGAUUCCCCUAGUAACGGCGAGUGAAGCGGGAAGAGCUCAAAUUUGAAAUCUUAAAGGGUUUCCCUUUACGAAUUGUAGUUUAAAGAAGUGUUUUCUGUUGAGGUUUUGGUAAAAGUUCUUUGGAAUAGGACAUCAUAGAGGGUGAGAAUCCCGUAUUUGACCUUUACUUUCAACUUUGUGAUACACUUUCAAAGAGUCGGAUUGUUUGGGAAUGCAGUCCAAAAUGGGUGGUAAAUUUCAUCUAAAGCUAAAUAUUGGCGAGAGACCGAUAGCGAACAAGUACCGUGAGGGAAGGAUGAAAAGAACUUUGAAAAGAGAGUUAAACAGUACGUGAAAUUGUCAAAAGGGAAGCGUUUGACACCAGUGUUGUUUUUCUGAAAAUCAAUUAAAGAACUGUUUAUGCUAAGUUGUUUAGACUUUAUCAGCUAACUGUUUAGUUUUGAGCUUUUCUUUAAUGCACUUUUCAGUUAACAAGUCAACAUCAAUUUCUUUUGCUGUAAAAAAGCUUGAGGAAGGUGGCUUGAGAUUCGUCUUAAGUGUUUAUAGCCUCUUGCCUAUGCAGUCGGAGAGAUUGAGGUCUGCAGCGUAGAUCCUUCGGGGCUAAAUGCAUUUGUGCUAAGUUAUAGCAUUUUAUAGACAACUUGUUGACUAUGAUUUGUCUUGUAGCUUACUCGCUUAUGUUAUUUUACCUACGCUUAGGAUGUUGACAGCAGUAUAGACUGU